GUAUAUCUUAAAUUUUAAGAAUUUGGCGGUAAUUUAGUCUUGUCAGAGGAACCUGUUUGAAAUUAAUUGAUACACCUCGUAAUAUCUUACUUAUUUUUAGUUUGUAUACCAUCAUUAUUAGAUAAUUUUUAAAGAAUAAAUUAUUGGAGUUGAAUUUAUUAAGUAAAUUAGAUCAAGGUGCAGCUUAUAAAUAAGUUUUAAAUGGGUUACAAUAAAUUUUAUUUAAACGGAGUGAGUGAGUUAGUUAAAUUUAGGAAGGAGGAUUUGAUAGUAAUAUAAGUUUAAUAAGCUUAUAUGAUAGUGGCUCUAAAUUAUGUACACAUCGCC
rnacentral:rRNA from 1 species